rnacentral:tRNA from 1 species
GCUCCCAUGGCAUAGUGGUCACUGCACUCGCCUUGCACGCGGGAGACCUGGGUUGAAUUCCCGGCGGGGUCA